AGAGUUUGAUCAUGGCUCAGGAUGAACGCUGGCGGCGUGCCUAACACAUGCAAGUCGAGCGAUCUUCUUCGGAAGAGAGCGGCGGACGGGUGAGUAACGCGUGGGUAACCUGCCCUGUACACACGGAUAACAUACCGAAAGGUAUGCUAAUACGAGAUAAUAUAUGAGAGUUGCAUAACUUUCAUAUCAAAGCUUUUGCG
rnacentral:rRNA from 1 species